CCUAUGUCUUUUACUAUUAUGUAGAUCCCGCAACAAGGUUUGCUACAACUCACCCUGCGGUUCGCAAGCGACCCUCGAAUCUGCAUACAGCAUUGACACUAUGCAAGCAUUCGCAAACCUGGGGAACUGCAGAACACCUUCUGGAUCACAAUGGUCCCAGGGGUAUACAGAUGCCUAUGUCUUCGUUACGGGAACUCUGGAAACACUGGGCACCUGGACUUCAAUGUACGUUGGCUGCAGCCAUUCAUCAACUGCAGCUGUAGGACAGGUGACUAACAUCCGAUUUGGAGGGGGUCCUUACCACUCCGGAGAGUUCGUGCACACAUCUUGCAAUGGCUACAGGGUCAACUACCAAAACUCCAUCACCUCACGUUGGAACACAGACAACAUCAGGGUGAUGUGGAUACGCUGAAGUCCAGACCAUCAGCCAAACGAGCAAGUUGAACGGAGAUUCUGAAGUGAUUUCAUGUGAUUAUUGUUAGGACACCCUCCCUGUUAGUAAUUUGAUCAAUAUGGUGAUAGCGUCAAUAUGAAUUUCAAAUGUGUAAGUAAUCCAUUACAUGUAUCAUAACACUUGAUGUUUAUGUGGAGAAGUUUUUGACCGAUUCGUGAAGUCUUCUUCAGCAUCCCUCAGGGCAAGUGACUUUAUAGACAUCUGAGGUCAAAGGGUGCUGGAAGGCUAUAUCGCCCCCCGUCAAGGUUGUUUGAAGCAAGUUUGGUGCGCCUUGUCCUGAGCGAUUGGGUCAGAUACAUGUGUAGCUUUAGACAACAGAGUCAGUCAGUGAAAAAUUCUGGUGAGUCCAAUGUUUUGAGUUGGAGAUAACAGCAACUUUUCCAGAUGAACUUUUAUGACAUUGCAGUAGAAUUCAAGGCACUUACUAAGCAUUGUGCACUGGAAGUGUGUACUUAAUAAGUGAUAUAUGGUGUUAUGUAAAACUUGCAGUUCAGUUAGUAUUAUAACAGGGCAGAUAAUAUAUUCCAUAGAUUCUGGGAGUCUUAGCUGCUGAGAAUGUAUAUAGUACAAUGUAUCUGUCAUACCUUUUUGAUACUAGAUACGAUUUUACCUACAAUAAUCUAGAAACAAGUAAGUACUGUGUAACGUUAUAUACAUUGUAGAAGUUGAUUUUUCAAAGGAGGACCUGGAUAUAGAACUAGACAAUGGAACGCCUGUUCUAAUUUUGCUUGAAGUGGAAUAGAAAGUAGGGAAUAACAUGCCAUGAAAGACCUAUGUAGCCCAUAUAUUCUGGAUUAAAUGUUGGU